AUACGGAGGGUGCGAGCGUUGUCCGGAUUUAUUGGGUUUAAAGGGUGCGUAGGUGGCUGAUUAAGUCAGUGGUGAAAUACAGCCGCUCAACGGUUGAGGUGCCAUUGAUACUGAUCAGCUUGAAAUAAUUGGAGGCUGCCGGAAUGGAUGGUGUAGCGGUGAAAUGCAUAGAUAUCAUCCAGAACACCGAUUGCGAAGGCAGGUGGCUACGAUUUAUUUGACACUGAGGCACGAAAGCAUGGGGAGCAAACAGGAUUAGAUACCCUGGUAGUCCAUGCCGUAAACGAUGAGGACUCGCUGUUUGGCUGUCAAGGCUGAGCGGCUUAGGGAAACCGUUAAGUCCUCCACCUGGGGAGUACGCCGGCAACGGUGAA
rnacentral:rRNA from 1 species